GAUGAACGCUGGCGGCGUGCUUAACACAUGCAAGUCGAACGAAGAUGCCGGAGUGCUUGCACUUUGGCAGACUGAGUGGCGGACGGGUGAGUAACGCGUGGGUAACCUGCCUUAUACAGGGGGAUAACAGUUGGAAACGACUGCUAAUACCGCAUAAGCGCACGGUAUCGCAUGAUACAGUGUGAAAAACUCCGGUGGUAUAAGAUGGACCCGCGUCUGAUUAGCUAGUUGGUGAGGUAACGGCCCACCAAGGCGACGAUCAGUAGCCGACCUGAGAGGGUGACCGGCCACAUUGGGACUGAGACACGGCCCAGACUCCUACGGGAGGCAGCAGUGGGGAAUAUUGCACAAUGGGCGCAAGCCUGAUGCAGCAACGCCGCGUGGAGGAAGUAUUCGGUAUGUAAAACUCUAUCAGCAGGGAAGAUAAUGACGGUACCUGACUAAGAAGCACCGGCUAAAUACGUGCCAGCAGCCGACGG
rnacentral:rRNA from 1 species